AUGCAUUUGUAAUGAGGGGGCGCACUUCUGUGCAGUGUGCACAAGUCGUCGUUGCCAGCAGGCUGCACCCGACAGCCAAGGGAUUAUGUGGCAUAGCAAGUCUCUGAAGCAGUGUCUCACACUCGAGUCCUGACCGAGGGCCUUGAAACUGGCCUGCCUGUUCAAAACAUCUCCAGGACAACAAGGUUAUUUUGUGUUGACGUGUAUUGAAUUCUUAAGGGCAAAGAAGAUGAAGGAGAAUGCGUGCAGUGGGCUGAAUGGAGAAUUCGUGAAUCAAAGGCAACACCAUCAAAUGCAUUAUGAAAUUAAGCACUAUCAGGUUGUCAAGGCUGUAGCUCAGCGGGUACAUGGUCCUGGAUACCAGAUUUUUUUUUUUGGAAAACUAUUUAUAUAUGGAAUCUGAAUGCACUCCAGGAUAUGCUGCAGUUCUUUGUGCCACAAGAGGCCAAGAAGCUCUACUACAAGACGUUGCGGCAGAAGAUGAAGAUUAUUACAAAUUAUCCAAGUCAGUUCCGACCAAGUAAUUUGAUUGGACAAGAGGCAUUCCAGUGCUGAUAUAGAGUAGCCUGGCGAUGUCAUACUCAUAAUUCUAGUCAGAAUAUGAGUCUGAGACCGAACCAUUGGGCUGUGAUUAUAGGGCGGAACCAGGAAGGAAAAUGCCUCUUCGCUCAAUUGGAUAGACCUAAAACCAAUCAGAGCAACGUAGUAUGUGACGUAUGUUGUGCGAAGCACAGCUAUUCUCAAACUAACUCAACUGAGCGCACGUUCGAAGAAGUAGAAAAAGAAGAUGGACAUAAACGAUUUAUGCCUGUUUUGUAAAAAGAAUUUAAGGAUACACGGACAAAUUGGCAACACGGUCAGCAUUUUUGGGAAAAAAA